AGCCACAGCCAUAUCACGCUGCAGCCCAAGACCAGUUACUCGCUGAAGCUAAGCAGGGCUUACCUGGUCAGUACCUGGAUGGGAAACUACAUGGAAAAACUAUGUUGCUGUUGGAA
rnacentral:rRNA from 1 species